rnacentral:lncRNA from 1 species
CCAAAACGAAACAUAAUUAAGAACAGGACCACAACAAAGACAAUGUUAUUAGGGGGACCACAACAGAAGACACUAAGGGGGACAACAAGACAACAAACUUCCAUUGGGGGACCCCAACUACAUAAAAUAAUUGAUAAAAAAUGCACCUUGCACCUUUUUGCUUCGAAAUAUCACGCUCACGAAUCCUAUUCUUCAUCAAUCCUUUUCGGCCACGAACCUCCUUCAAUCACCAAACUCCUUCGCUGACCAUCCACCUUUGUUCAGAGAACUAAUGCUCACACCAAAUCAACCCUCGU